rnacentral:rRNA from 1 species
UACGGAGGGUGCAAGCGUUGUCCGGAAUCACUGGGCGUAAAGGGCGCGUAGGUGGCCCGUUAAGUGGCUGGUGAAAUCCCGGGGCUCAACUCCGGGGCUGCCGGUCAGACUGGCGAGCUAGAGCACGGUAGGGGCAGAUGGAAUUCCCGGUGUAGCGGUGGAAUGCGUAGAGAGUCGGGAAGAAUACCAGUGGCGAAGGCGUUCUGCUGGGCCGUUGCUGACACUGAGGCGCGACAGCGUGGGGAGCAAACAGG